AUACUUAUCUCAAAUCUCAAUUGACUGAUUACACUUUGUUGUACACGAUACAUGUUUUUCGGCUUUCAUUCAGUAGAUACUACGGUACCUACAUAGGUACUUAACUGACAUAUUUUGAGCGUGUUUAUUUCUCCUAUGUCAGUAACAAACUGACAAGAAUUUAUUAAUCUGAAGUGCCUAACCGUGUAGAGAAAUUAUUUACAAAAUACUUUUUGUUGUGUAUAAAAAUAGAUUGAAAAAUGGGUUUAGAAAAUAUGCGACGUUGGCCUAUGUACAUUGUAUUUGCCGUUUGUAUUUUGUUGACCCUUUCAUUGUUAAAUAGUUGGAAUCUUGAAACUGAAUUGCGAAACAGAAUUAGUGAAGUAAGUAGGCAACUACAAGAGUGUUCAAAACAGCAAACGACAUGCAUGGAAGAAUCGUUAACGUUACUCGAACAACGCGAUAGUUACUCCAACAAAGUAAGCGACUUAAAUAAACAUAAAACAAGACUAGAGGAGGAUCUAUCAGAGUAUAGAACUAAACUAACAAAAUCGGAAAUUCAAAUAAACAACACAAAAGAUGAUGUCAACAUGUGUAAGACUGAGUUGCAGUCAUUAAAAAAUUUGCAUGUCAGCGAGUCUGCUAUGCUGGAGACACUAAGAUCGGAAAAGAAGAAAUAUACUAGCCAGCUAACAGCACGAAAACAGAAAAUCGAAGAAUUAGAGAAAGAAAUUGAAAGGCUGCGUGCUGUUUUAACAACUAAGAGUGCUCCUAAUCCCCCUGUACCAUCUAAAGUGACUCCAGCAGCUGUGCCACCAAAACAAAGCCCUGCUUUGAAUGUUGUUCAAAAUCCUAUUAAUGAGCCAGUCCUUGAGAAUGAUGCAAAAGAGGAUAUAGAAGAUCCUAAUGUAUUAAAUGAUGGACAAGAUUUUGAUGCACAAUUACAAUAGAUAUUGAUCUUUUUGAAAAAAAGUCCAUAAAACUGAAACUAAAAAAAUUUAUUUUGUGUCGUUGAUGAUACAUAAUGUGACUUUAAACUAUAUAAUUUAAUAACUAAGGACAAGGACUACAACUUGUAGCGAUAGCUAUCACAGAAUAGAAGAAAUAUGAUUAAAGCCUGAAUCGUGCUCAAGAAAUAUCCAAAUGAAGCAUAAAUGGACAGUUUAAAAUUUUGUAAAUUAAAUACAGAUUGUGGACAACAACAUUUGGACAGACUGCUCAUGGGAGAAAACACUCUAAGGCGCUGUAGUAAAUACGUCUUUUUAGAAUAGUAAAGUUCUAAGAAGACUAAUGGGACUUUUUUUAAAACGCUAAAAAGUUACGUUCCUCUGUUUUGUCUCAUAUGAGUCGUCUAUUAUCAAAGGCGGCAAUCUGUACAUUUGGACAAAAAAUUUUUAUUGAUAUGUCAAUACAGAUUUAUUUGAAUAUAAUCGUCUCCUUCAAAGAAUACGGUUCAAAACCUGCAUUAAAUAAAGGUUAAUAGUUAACCUGUUAUUUAUCUAAGAUGUCGUUCCGAAGAGUUUUGUGACUGCCAAUGGAAUACAAAGUCAAUAAUUCGUUUUUCUGAUUUACCAAUCAUUGUCCAAAAGUCAGAUUGCCGCCUUUGAUAAUAGUCGACUCAUAUAACGAAUAUUGGAAAGUCACUUUAAAAAGACUACCUACCUACCAAUGAAGUAGGAAACCUAUGGAAAUGAAACGUCAACCAAAAUUUCGUGCCACUGUGACGUCAUCUGGCCACAAAACAUGGCGGCUUUAGUGCUGUACAAAAGAUUUAAAUGUUAUCAGGUUUUAUCGAUAAACCUUCUUGGCUCAUUUUAUUUUAAAUAUUGUUGAGUAUUAUUCAUUUGUAGAAUUUAUACUUUAAUGGGAAGUAAGUAGGUAUAUUGUUAUGUGCAAAUAUGAUAUGAUUUAGAUGGGUGAAAUCUAAGACAAGUUCGUCCUUCGAAUUUGCCAAGUAAACGAUAUGAUGAUUUUUAAAAGUUGCUACACUGAUUUUAUAAAGUUGUCGUUUGUCGCAAAACAUAAAGAUAUGGCGUAGUUCAAAGCCAUCAGCCCAUUUCUAGCAUGCUAAAUGUUAUCGUAUUUUGAGUACGUGUUUUUCUUAGACUAUUACAAUCUAUUUUAAUUGUUUUGCUGACUCUAAAGUCCGUAACAUACUACCGCAGCGCACCCCAAGGAAGGUGCGCCGCACCAUUUGAAUCACUUUCGCUUGAGAGUGAUUCAAAUUUUAAA